rnacentral:rRNA from 1 species
AUUGAACGCUGGCGGCAUGCCUUACACAUGCAAGUCGAACGGCAGCACGGGGCAACCUGGUGGCGAGUGGCGAACGGGUGAGUAAUGCAUCGGAACGUGCCCAGUAGUGGGGGAUAGCCCGGCGAAAGCCGGAUUAAUACCGCAUACGACCUACGGGUGAAAGCGGGGGACCGCAAGGCCUCGCGCUAUUGGAGCGGCCGAUGUCAGAUUAGGUAGUUGGUGAGGUAAAGGCUCACCAAGCCAACGAUCUGUAGCUGGUCUGAGAGGACGACCAGCCACACUGGGACUGAGACACGGCCCAGACUCCUACGGGAGGCAGCAGUGGGGAAUUUUGGACAAUGGGCGCAAGCCUGAUCCAGCCAUUCCGCGUGCAGGAUGAAGGCCCUCGGGUUGUAAACUGCUUUUGUACGGAACGAAACGCGCCGGGUUAAUACCUCGGCGUAAUGACAGUACCGUAAGAAUAAGCACCGGCUAACUACGUGCCAGCAGCCGCCGUAAAAC